AUCUCAGAGUUAAAGCUGCGAGGAGACCCCCGUGUGACUCCACUGCAGUGUCUGGAUGAUGACGAUGGCGGUGAUGAUGAUGGCGACGGGGCAUCUGGAGACUUUGGAAGUGGCACCAAUGAGCAGGAAGGACCCUCGGGGGCCCCCAUGGCGCCCCCCGAGCCGCCCGGCCUCCCCGAGC